rnacentral:rRNA from 1 species
AAUCAACGCUGGCGGCGUGCCUAACACAUGCAAGUCGAACGAGAAAGUGGGAGCAAUCCUGCGAGUACAGUGGCAGACGGGUGAGUAACACGUGAACAACCUACCCUUGAGAGGGGAAUAACACCGCGAAAGCGGUGCUAAAACCGCAUAAAAUUCUUUGGUCGCAUGGCUGAAGGAUCAAAAGCGCAAGUUGCUUGAGGAGGGGUUCGCGGCUGAUUAGCUAGUUGGUGAGGUAACGGCCCACCAAGGCGACGAUCAGUAGCCGGCCUGAGAGGGUGAACGGCCACACUGGAACUGAGACACGGUCCAGACUCCUACGGGAGGCAGCAGUGGGGAAUUUUGCGCAAUGGGCGAAAGCCUGACGCAGCAACGCCGCGUGGAGGAUGAAGGCCUUCGGGUCGUAAACUCCUGUCGAUGGGGACGAAAGCCUAGCAAUAGGAUUGACUGUACCCGUUGAGGAAGCCACGGCUAACUCCGUGCCAGC